GUUAAGCUGCGCUAAUUUCAGAUGCUCAGAAGGAAUCGACGUCCUCGUCAGGAAUCUCGGAACGGGAUGUUGGGAGGCAAAUGCGGAGAGACAAACCACGGCACAUACGGCAUCUCUUGCCAGGAAGUGACUGUUUUACGUUACAUUAACCCAGAAGAGGCAGUUCUCCAAGGGAGGUGGCAAGAAACAGAGGUUGCAAUAAUUAAGAAACCAUCAGAAA
rnacentral:lncRNA from 11 species